GGGCCUAUAGCUCAGUUGGUUAGAGCGCACCCCUGAUAAGGGUGAGGUCGGAAGUUCGACUCUUCCUGGGCCCACCA
rnacentral:tRNA from 1 species